rnacentral:rRNA from 1 species
ACUUGCGGUGUGCCUUAUGCAUGCAAGUCGAACGGUCUUGAUUUAUCAAGAUAGUGGCGAACGGGUGAGUAACGCGUAAGUAACCUGCCCUCAAGUAGGGGAUAACUCUGAGAAAUUAGAGCUAAUACCGUAUGCGGUGGUAGGGGUAAUGCCCUAUUACUAAAGCCUUAGGGUGCUUGGGGAGGGGCUUGCGUCCGAUUAGCUAGUUGGUAGGGUAACGGCUUACCAAGGCGAUGAUCGGUAGCUGGUUUGAGAGGACGGCCAGCCACACUGGGACUGAGACACGGCCCAGACUCCUACGGGAGGCAGCAGCAAGGAAUAUUGUGCAAUGGGCGAAAGCCUGACACAGCGACACCGCGUGGGGGGUGAAGGCCUUCGGGUUGUAAACCCCUUUUCUCAGGGAAGAAUAAUGACGGUACCUGAGGAAUAAGUCUCGGCUAACUACGUGCCAGCAGCCGCGGUAAGACGUAGGAGGCGAGUGUUAUCCGGAUUUACUGGGCGUAAAGAGGGCGUAGGCGGCUUUCCAAGUCGGAUGUAAAAUCUCCUGGCUUAACUAGGAGGGGUCAUUCGAUACUGUUAGGCUAGAGGGCAGCAGAGGGAGGUGGAAUUCCCGGUGUAGUGGUGAAAUGCGUAGAUAUCGGGAGGAACACCAGUGGCUAAAGCGGCCUCCAAAGGCUGUUUCUGACGCUGAGGCCCGAAAGCGUGGGGAGCGAACAGGAUUAGAUACUCUGGUAGUCCACGCUGUAAACGAUGGAUACUAGUAUGGGGGGUAUUGACCCCCUCCGUGCCGAAGCUAACGCGUUAAGUAUCCCGCCUGGGACUACGGCCGCAAGCUAAACUCAAGNAUUGA